GCCAAGCACUCAGCAAGAAACAAUACCAGUCAGUGCUCACUCGUGUGAUACCAUGCAGUGUUGAUCUGCAAAAGGCGACGUGAUCAUGCAACGCUUCCUUGGGCUUUACGGAGACUGGAACCUUCGUGGACGCAUGUACUCAUUGCACUUUCCGGCAUGAAGCAAGGAGAAGCGGAGGUGGGCAGCGUGGGGCAUGACAUUCGCCGCGGGACCCACGCCGGGACACCCCGCCGACCUCUCUCUCUCUCUCUCCGUGUCACGGUGAUCGGUCCGUGCCGCGACCUCUUCUUCCUUUGAUCCCUCAAUACACUGUCGUCGUCGUCGUCGUCGCCGUGGUUUGCGCUGGAAACGGCAAGGGUUUUAUUGCUCGGGAAGAAGCCGUUUUGAUCUGUUCACGAGUGGUUGUACGUGCCACGAGUGUGGGUCCCACCUGCCGUUUUGGACGAGAGCCGAAUUGAUCGAGCUGAGAUCGGGUCGAGCUUGAUUCAGUUACCAGAUGUCUCAAGAAAGGGUGAGAGGUGCCGGGGGCGACCGCGGACGAUGAGGACGUUUCCGGCGAGUAGGGCUUCCAGGAGCGCGAGGAGGAUGGGUGGAGUGCUGGUGGGAGCAGCGGAAUGAACGGAUCCAAGUUCCUUUUGGAGUUCAAGUUCGUGCAAAGAGUCCACAAGGGAAUAUGCGAGGAUACAUCAACUCAAAGAAGUAAUAGCUCUCAUAUAAGCAACAGGGAAGCCAUUUGUUUAGAGAAUCAGGAAAUAAAGGGGAUGAUGAGGGACCUCAUCACUACCUUAAUAUAAAAUGCUGGUCAUUCUUUGGGCUCACAAAAUCUGUGUCUCCUCUGCAAACAUCCAGCUAAACCACGUAAAUGCAGCAGCAUGUGGAUUUCCAGCUCCGCGUUUGAUCCUGACAUGUAUCCUCAUCAAACCUUCAAGAAGUUGAUUAAACUUGAUGCCAACUACUACAAACAUAUGAGAAUGUGAUCGAUGAUGCUAGGAUUUGACAGAGAAGGGAGCAUGCAGAUUCCGUUCCACGUGAAGUGGGUCCUGAAUGGAAUCCAUCGGAGUGGUUGAUUGAGAUGGAGGAGUUAUUAGAGACCUUCAAACAAGGUUCAAUAAGUUUUCCUCGUCUUCGUCCUGGUGAAGCCCACCACUUCUUCCGAGAGGAAAACACCAAACCAUGUCUCGAUCAAGAUGGGUAAGUUGAGCCACACAGCCAGUGAAAGGACAUGAAUGCUAUUUUGGUUGGGUGCAAUUAGCAUGACCAUGGACGGUUGAUAAGGGGUGUUGAAGCUGUUGCUGCUGAGCCAUUGCACCAUGUGAAUUCCAUUGCACAAAAGGGACGGAAACUCGCUGUCAAAUCUCAUCAAUUUAAGAAUGGUGACAUGUGGGUGGAGGAUGGGAAGAUUCUGGAAACCACAAGGGACAGAAGUCAGUGGAGAUGUGCACUGUGGAUAACGUUGUCUCUGGGUUCUCACACAAUUGAUUGUGCUUUGCUUUCUCCAAAAGCCAAACAGUGCUUCAGAAGUCAAAGGUGAAAGUCAUACAGUAACUCCACUGUCAUAUAGCUUGUCUUUUGAUAUAUAUGCUUGUAUGGUUUGUUUAAGAAUGAUAUUCUCUUCUUUUUCUUCGGUACUCUACCAUGAGUUUCUGGUCUAUACAGGUUUAUUUUAUUAAUCUACUUGUUUUCUAACAUGGAAAAUUAAUUACCAACUGGAAACUGUUAUUAGGCUGAAAGUUUGAUUCUCCUUGUGAAGAAGAAUUGGAAAGUGCUAUUG